UGGCGGACGGGUGAGUAACGCGUGGAAAACCUGCCGUAUACUGGGGGAUAACACUUAGAAAUAGGUGCUAAUACCGCAUAAGCGCACAGCUUCGCAUGGAGCGGUGUGAAAAACUCUGGUGGUAUACGAUGGUUCCGCGUCUGAUCAGCUAGUUGGUGGGGUAAUGGCCUACCAAGGCAACGAUCAGUAGCCGGCCUGAGAGGGUGAACGGCCACAUUGGGACUGAGACACGGCCCAAACUCCUACGGAAGGCAGCAG
rnacentral:rRNA from 1 species